rnacentral:rRNA from 1 species
UACGUAGGGCGCGAGUGUUGUCCGGAAUUAUUGGGCGUAAAGAGCUCGUAGGCGGCCAGUUGCGUCUGCUGUGAAAUCCCGGGGCUCAACCCCGGGCUUGCAGUGGAUACGGGCUGGCUGGAGGCAGGCAGGGGAGAACGGAAUUCCCGGUGUAGCGGUGAAAUGCGCAGAUAUCGGGAGGAACACCGGUGGCGAAGGCGGUUCUCUGGGCCUGACCUGACGCUGAGGAGCGAAAGCGUGGGGAGCGAACAGG